UUCUGUUUGUGAUAAGUAGAAGGGGACUUCUACUUGAAUACGUCGGUCGAAGGUUACUCAUUCGCCGCGUUGUACUACAAUUAUUUCAAACCGGCCACCUUACGUGCUCGUCCUUAGUGGCGGAUUGAGCAUUGAGGUGCUAUUUGAUUUCAAUAAUAUAGGGUUUUUUCCCCUUUCUAAAUUUUUGAUGUUAAUUGAAUAUAAUGAUAAAUAACAAAUUUAAUUCUGCAAUUAUGAAAUUGUGUAUAUUUGCCUAAGCGAAAUAUUUUCGCCUCAAUUUUUGUGCCGAAAUCAAGAUAAAAGUGUUGGAAAAUUAAAUUUGAAAACAGAGCCAACGCCUUGGGUUUAUGACGGAAAAUGAAAUUAAAUACCAGCAACUAAGCACCACCACACCCAGCGCAAUCAAACCCCAACGUAUUUUGGUGGCCUCAAUUGGCAACAGCUACCAUUACCGCCAGCAGUUUUGCAAGCGCCUCAACAUCGGACGAAGUGUUGCUGCUCGAUGACAAUAUCAUCGUAAGUCAAGCGUACUAUGCCAAUUCGCUACUCUUUGCUUUUGACUCAUCUCUGUUGAGAGACUUGCAUUGCUACAGAGAGAAGCAUUCAAGCAGAAUGUGUCACUGACACUGAAUAUCUCGACGGAGAAUCUGACGGAACUUCUAAAUACUGCACAGUUCAAUCAGAUCUUGGAAUUGCUACAGCAGCAGCUCCCGCUGUCCUCCUUGAUUAUGCUCACAGUGCUCUAUGUCAUCAUCUUCGUGCUGGUAUGUUGGGUAGUCUUAUUACAUGCAUUAUUAUAUCGCGAAAUUUAAAUAUUUCAAAAAAAUUUAUGCACACCGUGACCACGUUCAAUCUAUUUAACCAGACCGUAUCGGAUUUGAUGUUGCUACUGUCAGGUGAAUUGCAUUUGUUACACAGACUUUUAAGUAAGGUUCCAAAAAUAUGCAUAUGAAAAUUUAGUAAAUAAUUCGAAAACAAAACAACGAACUAACACUAAAGCCCGAUUCUUUCAUUUUUCUUUUCAAUGACAGAUGGAAGAAAAUAUAGUUAUGUCUGAGAAGCGAUGAGUCACGAUUGUAAAAUAUUAUGUUUUUGAAUAAUUGAAAUUAUUGCUCAUGAGAUCAGAAACAUAACGAAAUAUUGUUCUUAAUAUGAGUGCCAUUGUAUAUUUCUCUAUAAAACUAUCUUGCUUUUUUUUUGUUUUCUGUGCUUUUAUUCAGGCACGCCGCAAGGUGGUCCUGUCUUCCUUACUCUUGAUUUUAGUGGUAUUGAAACCACUCGGGAGUCGAGACUGUCGGAUUAUAUCCUAUGUAUAUGAUGUUGUUCUUAUGGUUAAAAGAAAGGGAGUUAGCCGUCAUAAACAAAUAAAGCAGAUCUGGAUUUAUUUACCAUCAUUAGGAGCUAGAGGCUUCACUCUCUCGAAAAGAUGAAGUAUUUGGGCAAAAUCCUGAAACCAUACGCCUUAUAGGUCAGUGAGCUCUCUCUUGGAUGACCUACAGCUCAAGAGGAUGGUUAGAGGGGCAGUCUUAUAUCGGGAGUUCUCAAUCAACUCUCAGACUGUCAGAGUAGUGUAGCGUCUUAAAGCAGAAGUAGCAGCCAUAAAGAUAGCAGCAGAUGUACGAGUUCUACGAAGAGCGUUUUCUUUUAGAAAGAUGCACCACAUCUGUAUAUAUCUUCCUAUUUAACGGUCCAAUUAGCAUACUUGACAGUGUUUAAGCGGAGAUAGCCACCAAUGUAACCGUGCUGACAACAACGGCAUUUACCGUUGAACGCUACGUAGCGAUAUGCCAUUCAUUUCGAGGAGUAAAAGCUGGCGGGUAUUGAUUAACGGUUUCAUUACGCUUUCAAUUUCUGCUGACUUUUGUUAAUCAAGACAGUGUCCUCACAACAAUCAACAGCAGCGGUGGAAUGGACGGAGGCAUUCGUGAUUCAUUACAUAGUACAGAGUAUUCCUCUGCGGCUCGCAAUCCAUGCUGACAACAACCCUCACCAAAUGGAAUGAAAUAGUCGCAAAUCAAGUUAUUGGUAUGUCUGUUGUAACUGCAACCAAACAACAACAACAACCACACAGAUCACAUACUGCAAUCUCAACUGUCCCAACGGUCCAGAGCGGCGCAUAGUAAUAUCGUCUCGGUUAUCUGUAGUCUUCAGCCAUAAAUUGCAACCGAAUGUUUUAACAAUGAAACGAUUACCUUCUCACCACCAGCACCAACCAUACAACCGGUGAAGUAUAUUGUGAAAUUGGACGUGCAUGGACCGAACUUUCACGAAUAAUUAGUUGACGUAUAGAAAAGUUUGGACAGGACUUGUGAAAGCCUCUCUGCUUCCAAUUUGAAUGCGUAAACCAUGGUGCGGAGAACCAUAUAACUUCGAUGUCAGUUUCGCUAAAUAACGUGGAUCCACCAGCGUGCGGAAUCUGGAUUUGGAUGCAAAGUGCUGCAAAUAAAAAUGGAUAUCAUCGGAAAAUUGAAUAUGAAAGUUUAAGAAACUAAAAUGUGUUAUAAAAGA